AACCCAGCCUACCUGCUAUAGCCGCCGCCACUGCCGUCUCUGCCGCCACUGGGCCCCCAGAGCCCCAGCCCCAGAGCCUAGGAACCUGGGGCCCGCUCCUCCCCCCUCCAGGCCAUGAGGAUUCUGCAGUUAAUCCUGCUUGCUCUGGCAACAGGGCUUGUAGGGGGAGAGACCAGGAUCAUCAAGGGGUUCGAGUGCAAGCCUCACUCCCAGCCCUGGCAGGCAGCCCUGUUCGAGAAGACGCGGCUGCUCUGUGGGGCGACGCUCAUCGCCCCCAGAUGGCUCCUGACAGCAGCCCACUGCCGCAAGCCGUGGCCGCUACAUAGUUCACCUGGGGCAGCACAACCUCCAGAAGGAGGAGGGCUGUGAGCAGACCCAGACAGCCACUGAGUCCUUCCCCCACCCCGGCUUCAACGACAGCCUCCCCAACAAAGACCACCGCAAUGACAUCAUGCUGGUGAAGAUGGCAUCGCCAGUCUCCAUCACCUGGGCUGUGCGACCCCUCACCCUCUCCUCACGCUGUGUCACUGCUGGCACCAGCUGCCUCAUUUCCGGCUGGGGCAGCACGUCCAGCCCCCAGUGUAGGAGCUCCAGAGGGGAACCUGACAGGGGGUGGUGAGGAGGGAGUGGUCAGGAUUGUGGAAGGGUUCAGGGGAUCAGAGAUGCGGUUCACAGUGACGAUGUGGGAUAAGUUGAGAGGAUGUGUGGAAAACGUCAGGACGGGGGGGUGGGGACAAAAGUUGGGGCCUUGGAGUCAGACGGACGGAAUAUGCAAUCAUACAUCCAUAACCUCCUGGUUGUAAGACCUUAGGCAAGCAGCUUCACCUCUCUGAAUCUUGAUUUUCUUCUCUAUAAAAUGAGAAUGAUUAUACCCACCUGUCAGGAUUGGAUUAGAGAUAAUGUAUAUUAAGCAACUGGCAUAAAUCAUUUAUUGGAUAGCAGGCUGGGCACGGUGGCUCACGCCUGUAAUCCCAGCACUUUGGGAGGCCGAGGUGGGAAGAUCACCUGAGGUCGGGACUUUGAUACCAGCCUGGCCAACAUGGUGAAAUCCCAUCUCUACUAAAAAUGUGAAAAUUAGUUGGGCGUGGUUGUGUGCGCCUGGAAUCCCAGCUACUCGGGAGGCUGAGGCAGGAGAAUCGCUUAAACUUGGGAGACGGAGGUUGCAGUGAGCCAAGAUCACGCCACUGCACUCCAGCCUGGGCAACAGAGCAAGACUCUGUCUCAAAAAAAAAAAAAAAAAAAAAGCUGGAUAGCAUUGCUGUUGCUAUUGUUACAAGAAGAGAGGUGAGUUGGCUGCGUCUAAGGACAGGGAUUCCCCCAGGGGCGGGAUCACAGCAAGCACUGCAUUAGGAGAGUGGCAGGGAGCUCAUUCCCACAGCCCCUCACGCUGUUUCCACAGUACGCCUGCCUCACACCUUGCGAUGCGCCAACAUCACCAUCAUUGAGCACCAGAAGUGUGAGAACGCCUACCCCGGCAACAUCACAGACACCAUGGUGUGUGCCAGCGUGCGGGAAGGGGGCAAGGACUCCUGCCAGGGUGACUC
rnacentral:sRNA from 1 species